rnacentral:pre_miRNA from 1 species
UAAAUACUCCCUCCGUCUUAAAUUUUUUGUCUUAGGUUUGUCUAAAAUUGAAUGUAUCAAAAUACUAAAAGAUGACUAGAUACAUUCAUAUCUAAACAGAUCUAAGACAAGAAUUUUGGGAUGGAGGGAGUAUAAG